rnacentral:lncRNA from 1 species
GGAAGGAAAACCUGCGUUCAAUAGCCUUCACCUCCUCUGCAGAGAUGAAAUGCCGAACAUUGUAGCUGACACCCACUCGGUUCAGGUGGCCCCGGACAUGGUUGGCUAGCCCGAUACCAUUGUGGAAACGAUCAGGACAGUAGGGGCAUUUCCGCUCCUCGUGCUUUAGUGCCAUGGCUGGAUCCCCUUCUAGGAGUGUGUCCAGACCCAGUGAGCCACCCAAAGGUGUAUCUAGGAGCAGGAAAUCCAGGGGGUGGGUGCUUCUCAGCUCUAGCUCCUCAGGUGGCAGCUGUGGGGAUGCUCGGGUGGCGGCAGCUAUGACUUGUGGCCUGAGCUUUGCCAUCAGAACAAUGGGUACCAUUCCUUGGAGCUGUUGCUGUUGAGUUUCUGAGGCAUCGACUGCCUGGAGGGCAUCUUGGAAAGUCUGCUUCAACUCAAGGGCUGGCUGAGGGAUGAGGCUAGGGACGGCUAGGGGUGGAAAGGGUCCAUUUUCAGGAGUAAAAUCCAUUUCAGAAGUCAGCACUACAUCUUCAUCUUCUUCCUCUUCACUCCAAGGAUGACUCUUGUCUUCCAUUCUCUGCAGGUGGACAGUGCUUUUGUUUCUAUUGAGCUGUAUAGAAUAGGAAGCAGAUGCCAUAGGGGAAGGAAAGGCCAGCUUUCCAAGAGACUGCUGGCCUGAAUUUAACAAUGGGAAAUCUCUCAUGCCUGGCUGCUGAUAAUCUGGACCAAAGGCAAGGCCAGGGUCAUAUCCAGAAGGGUUCUCUUGCCACACAGAGGCCAAGAGAGGCUCAGAUUUGCUAAAAUAGUCCACGGUGGCAGUGUCAGGUAAGUGAGUAUAUGUAUCCUGGCUAGUACCUGGCUGGCUAGUGAGGUCCUCAAAGGCCUUUCCAGCCUCCUCCCAGUGGGCGUGGUGGGCGUGGACUAGCCUCUCGUGCUCCCUGAGCAGACUCUUGCUAGGUGCUAUGAAGCCACAGUGAACGCAGGUAUUGAGGCCUGAGGAGUCUCCAUAGGAGGGAUAGACGAGGGUGCUAACAUCUAAGACUGGGCUGCCACCCCUGAAAGGUUCCGUGGUCUGCCGGCUGGGCAGUGACCCACGCACAUGCAGCUUGGCAUGCUGCAUGAAGGCUCUAGAGGAAUUGGUGCCAAAGACACACUUGGAGCACUGUAGUCGUGCCUCACGGCCCUCAUCACCUGGAAACUGCUUUAGCUUUUGGAUCUCUUCAAUAAUCUUCUCCCGGGAAGCCUGGUGCAGUUGCCAGUGCUGUUCCAGGGCAGUGGGCUCUGUGAAGGCCCAGCCACAUUCGCUGCAGGCCAGUGGAGCCAGGUCAGCUGGGGGCUCCUGGCCCGGGGCUCGGCGGUGCUGGCUCAUGUGUUCUAGGAGGUGCUCCUUGUGCUUAAAGUAGAUGCUGCACUCGAUGCAAGGAAACACAGCUGGCUCCUCUUCCUCUUCUUCAUUGCUGUCCACCCCACCAGCUACUUCCUGCAACAGUUCACACAGGUACGGUCCCGUCUGGACUGGGGACAGUAGGGGCUGCAGCCGCUCCACAGAUGCUUCAGAGUUCACUGUCCAGGUCUGGGUGGCCACUUCUGAGGCUGAUGUGUGGAGACCCCACUCAGAAGGCUGGGCCACCUCCCCAAAGUCCUCUAGGUCCUCUCUGGUACCCAUCACUUCCAUGUCCAAGGUCUUGGGAGUGUCAUCCACUGGCACAAUUACCCUCCUGAAGGAAGUGACAGUCUGUGGCUGGGCAGGGAGGUCCAGGUGCAACCGUGUAUCCUUCAGGGGCUCCUGUUCAUCCGUAUCUUGGAGCCAAUCAAACUUGUGGUGGCUUGGAGAGUAUUUCUCUAAGAACUUCACUUCACCCUGGUGGUGCAAGAACUUUCUAGAGCCCUUGAGCUUGGCAUAGGGUUUCAUAGUUCUCACAAUAACUGAGUCCUUGAACCUCUGCUCAGAUGGGGUACCCUCCCUGGCCUCCUGGACCAUGGGAUGUUCCCAAGACCCCUGAACAUCAAGGGAUGCAGGGAAGGAACCCAGAA